rnacentral:rRNA from 1 species
UACGAAGGGGGCGAGCGUUGUUCGGAUUUACUGGGCGUAAAGGGCGCGCAGGCGGCGCAUUUUGUCAGGCGUGAAAGCCCCGGGCUUAACCUGGGAACUGCGUUUGAUACGGAUGGGCUAGAGUUCGGGAGAGGAGAGUGGAAUUCCCAGUGUAGAGGUGAAAUUCGUAGAUAUUCGCAAGAACACCAGUGGCGAAGGCGGCUCACUGGCCCGGUACUGACGCUGAGGUGCGAAAGCGUGGGGAGCAAACAGG